GUUGACCUCGGAUCAGGUAGGGAUACCCGCUGAAC
rnacentral:rRNA from 25 species